rnacentral:piRNA from 1 species
UAAACGCGGUUAGUGCAAGCAUCUGGGCCA